CUAUUGGAGACUGGACAAGAUUUUUGGAUCGCUAAAUGCCUUUCCUCCUACUCAACUCUGCCAUUUUCUCCAGAAGGUUGUGAUGAUUCUUGGACCCGGGUUUUGCUAUGAAAGGAAAGCGGCUAUUUUCUUGAUGACGAGGCAAUCUUGGAUUUGGCAUUCUUGGCUGUUUGUGGUACUCCGUUUAGUUUGGUUCUGGUGGUUAUGUUCUAUAUUGUUUCGAUGUGCUCUCUCUCCCUCUUUUCAAUUGUUAAUGUUCUGGCUUGUGAAAUGAUCUCUGACAUGCUAAAUUCAUGGGAAAUCCUAAACCAUUAAGCUUAAAAGGUUGCUAUUUAGGAUUUCUCCGGAGGCUUAUUUCGUUAAAUGCUAAGACUAGUUCUCUGGUUCUUCAUAUAAAGAGUUUGGAUUAUUUUAUUGCUUCUA